rnacentral:RNase_P_RNA from 1 species
GGAGUUGGCUGGGCAGCCGCCGCCAUUAUUUUCUCGAUAUUUCCUUAGGUGAUAUUGGGUGUGUGGGGGAGGAAAGUCCGGGCUCCAUAGGGCAGAGUGCCAGGUAACCCCUGGGGGGCGUGAGUCUACGGAAAGUGCAGCAGAGAGCAGACCGCCGAUGGCCRGAGUUUUCUGGCACAGGUAAGGGUGAAAGGGUGCGGUAAGAGCGCACCGCGCAACUGGUAACAGUUUGUGGCAUGGUAAACCCCACUCGGAGCAAGACCAAAUAGGAGUCCGUUGGCGUGGCCCGCGCUGGACUCGGGUAGGUUGCUUGAAGCGUAUGGUGACAUGCGCUCUAGAGGAAUGGUUGUCCACGACAGAACCCGGCUUACAGGCCAACUCCCUUU